AACGAACGCUGGCGGCAUGCCUAACACAUGCAAGUCGAACGAGACCUUCGGGUCUAGUGGCGCACGGGUGCGUAACGCGUGGGAACCUGCCCUUAGGUUCGGAAUAACUCCCCGAAAGGGGUGCUAAUACCGGGUAAUGUCUUCGGACCAAAGAUUUAUCGCCUUUGGAUGGGCCCGCGUUGGAUUAGCUAGUUGGUAGGGUAAAAGCCUACCAAGGCGACGAUCCAUAGCUGGUCUGAGAGGAUGAUCAGCCACACUGGGACUGAGACACGGCCCAGACUCCUACGGGAGGCAGCAGUGGGGAAUAUUGGACAAUGGGCGAAAGCCUGAUCCAGCAAUGCCGCGUGAGUGAUGAGGGCCUUAGGGUUGUAAAGCUCUUUUACCCGGGAUGAUAAUGACAGUACCGGGAGAAUAAGCUCCGGCUAACUCCGUG
rnacentral:rRNA from 1 species